CCUACGGGAGGCAGCAGUAAGGAAUAUUGGACAAUGCUCGCAAGAGUGAUCCAGCCAUGCCGCGUGCAGGAAGAAUGCCCUAUGGGCAGUAAACUGCUUUUGAACUAGAGAAAACCCCAGUACGUGUACUGGGCUGAUAGUAUAGUUAGAAUAAGCAUCGGCUAACUUCGUGCCAGCAGCCGCGGUAAGACGAAGGAUGCAAGCGUUAUCCGGAUUCAUUGGGUUUAAAGGGAGCGUAGGUGGACUGAUAAGUCAGUGGUGAAAUCUCCGAGCUUAACUCGGAAAUUGCCAUUGAUACUGUUGGUCUUGAGUACAGUUGCUGUGGGCGGAAUAUGACAUGUAGUGGUGAAAUACAUAGAGAUGUCAUAGAACACCGAUUGCGAAGGCAGCUCACAAAGCUGUAACUGACACUGAGGCUCGAAAGUGCGGGGAUCAAACAGGAUUAGAUACCCUGGUAGUCCGCACCGUAAACGAUGAUUACUCGCUGCUAGGGGGCAACCUUUAGUGGCUUAGCGAAAGCGAUAAGAAUCCNCGNGGAGAGCGCGACGAGACGACGAAGAAGUUAGAGCGNGAGAGNGCGACGGCGACGACGAGGGAGGAGG
rnacentral:rRNA from 1 species